rnacentral:rRNA from 1 species
AGGACUAACGCUGGCGGCGUGCCUAACACAUGCAAGUCGAGCGCCCCGCAAGGGGAGCGGCAGACGGGAGAGUAACACGUGGGAACGUACCUUUCGGUUCGGAACAACCCAGGGAAACUUGGGCUAAUACCGGAUACGUCCGUAAGGAGAAAGAUUUAUCGCCGAAAGAUCGGCCCGCGUCUGAUUAGCUAGUUGGUGAGGUAACGGCUCACCAAGGCGACGAUCAGUAGCUGGUCUGAGAGGAUGAUCAGCCUCACUGGGACUGAGACACGGCCCAGACUCCUACGGGAGGCAGCAGUGGGGAAUAUUGGACAAUGGGCGCAAGCCUGAUCCAGCCAUGCCGCGUGGGUGAUGAAGGCCCUAGGGUUGUAAAGCCCUUUCGGCGGGGAAGAUAAUGACGGUACCGCAGAAGACGCCCCGGCUAACUUCGCGCCAGCAGCCGC